GAUGAACGCUGGCGGUAUGCCUAACACAUGCAAGUCGUACGAGAGUUUUUAACUCUAGUGGCGGACGGGUGAGUAACACGUGAGAAUUUGCCUUUAGGAGGGGAUAACAAUUGGAAACGAAUGCUAAUACCCCAUAUGCUUUUGAGUGAAAUGGAUUUUAUCCGCCUAGAGAGAAGCUCGCGGCUGAUUAGCUUAUUGGUAAGGUAAGAGCUUACCAAGGCGACGAUCAGUAUCUGGUUUGAGAGGACGAUCAGACACACUGGAACUGAGACACGGUCCAGACUCCUACGGGAGGCAGCAGUGGGGAAUUUUCCGCAAUGGGCGAAAGCCUGACGGAGCAAUACCGCGUGAGGGAAGAAUGCCUAUGGGUUGUAAACCUCUUUUUUCAGGGAGGAAUAAAAUGACGUGUACCUGAAGAAUAAGCAUCGGCUAACUCCGUG
rnacentral:rRNA from 1 species